rnacentral:sRNA from 1 species
UGACCAUAUUUGCCAAUGCAAAUACAAUCGGCCGGACGGACAGCCAGGUCAAAUGCCGA